rnacentral:rRNA from 1 species
GAUGAACGCUGACAGAAUGCUUAACACAUGCAAGUCAACUUGAACUUCGGUUUGGGUGGCGGACGGGUGAGUAACGCGUAAGGAACUUGCCUCACAGAUAGGGACAACAUUUGGAAACGAAUGCUAAUACCUGAUAUUAUGAUUAUAUGGCAUCGUAUAAUUAUGAAAGCUAUAUGCGCUGUGAGAGAGCUUUGCGUCCCAUUAGCUAGUUGGAGAGGUAACGGCUCACCAAGGCGAUGAUGGGUAGCCGGCCUGAGAGGGUGAUCGGCCACAAGGGGACUGAGACACGGCCCUUACUCCUACGGGAGGCAGCAGUGGGGAAUAUUGGACAAUGGACCAAGAGUCUGAUCCAGCAAUUCUGUGUGCACGAUGAAGUUUUUCGGAAUGUAAAGUGCUUUCAGUUGGGAAGAAAAAAAUGACGGUACCAACAGAAGAAGUGACGGCUAAAUACGUG